rnacentral:rRNA from 1 species
UACGAGAGGCGCAAACGUUAUUCGGAAUUACUGGGCGUAAAGCGCACGUAGGCGGAUGUGCCAGUCAGGGGUGAAAUCCCGGAGCUCAACUUCGGAACUGCCUCUGAUACAGCACGUCUUGAGUCCGGAAGAGGUGGGUGGAAUUCCUAGUGUAGAGGUGAAAUUCGUAGAUAUUAGGAAGAACACCGGUGGCGAAGGCGGCCCACUGGUCCGGUACUGACGCUGAGGUGCGAAAGCGUGGGGAGCAAACAGG